UCCUAUCACUGUAUACACCUCCCACUCCUCCUAGCAAGAGAUGAAGUCUGUGAAGAAGAGAUGAAGUCUGUGAAGAAGAGAUGAAGUCUAUGAAAGAAGUCUUCUCAAAUUGGGGGUGGCUCUCUGACUUGCUUUGAUCAACAGAAUGGGACAUAUGUGUGGCUGUAGGACUUCUGGGUCUAGGCCUGCAAGGCCUUGCAGUUUUUGCUUCUACCUUCUCAGAAGCCAGGUGUCAUGUAAGGAAGCCUGGGUCAUCCAGCUAAGAGGCUGCAUGGAGAGAGAGAGGCUCUGGAAGAUGAGAGACAAUGUAAAAGAGAAAUUAAGCUCCUCAUGUGACAGGCAGCACCAACUGCCAGACCUGGGGGUGAGGCCAUCUUGGAUCCUUCAUUCAUGGAUGAGCCUCCCAAGCUGACACCACAUGGAGCAGAGAUGAGCCAUCUUGCUGAGCCCUGCUUGAAUGGCAGCCCCAAAGAAUCAAAAGCAAUAAAAUGGUUGUCAUUAAAAUUUGGAGUUAUGGAGUCACAGAUAGAUGAAACUGCUCCAGUGAGUGGCCAAGUGAUAGAGUGACUCCUCUUGGCAUUUGCAUGGUGUCCUUGUAGCUUCUGGAAGUGGAACUGGGAUGCAUGCAUUCACAGGGAAGCCUGAGAUUGUCUCCAUCAGACCGCAUGCUAGGGCAGUGCCGGGUCUUCUUGCCUGUGCAUCAUGGAAAGAAGGGCAGGUUUCAAAUCCAGAGUCACCCAGAUACUUCCACCUGGUUGGGCUUGGUACCCAGAAGGCAAAAGAUAAAAGAAUGAAUCACCAGCAUAGUGAGAUCAAGAUUUCUCAGGAGCAUGCCUGUGUGAUGUGCAGGGCUUCCCUGGUGGCCCAGUGGUAAAGAAUCUGUCAAUGCAGGAGACACGGGUUAGAUCCCCGGUCUGGGAAGAUCCCUUAUGCCACAGAUCAACUGUGUGCCACAGCUCUUGAGCCUGUGCUCUGGCUCUGCGGCUAAUGAGCCCAUGUGCUGCAACUACGGAAGCCCACAUGCCCUUGUGCUCUGCAACAAGAGAAGCCACCGUAAUGAGAAGCCUGCACACUGCAAUGAAG
ensembl:lncRNA